rnacentral:rRNA from 1 species
CCGAGGGGGCAAGCGUUAUUCGGAAUUAUUGGGCGUAAAGAGCGUGUAGGCGGCCUGGUAGGUCUGGUGUGAAAACUCGAGGCUCAACCUCGAGAGGUCAUCGGAAACCAUCUGGCUAGAGUCCGGAAGAGGAGAGUGGAAUUCCCGGUGUAGCGGUGAAAUGCGCAGAUAUCGGGAAGAACACCUAUGGCGAAGGCAGCUCUCUGGGACGGUACUGACGCUGAGACGCGAAAGCGUGGGGAGCGAACAGG